rnacentral:rRNA from 1 species
GAUUAGAUACCCCACUAUGCUUUGCCCUAAACAUUGAUAGUACACUACACCCACUAUCCGCCCGGGAACUACGAGCACCAGCUUAAAACCCAAAGGACUUGGCGGUGCUUUAGAUCCACCUAGAGGAGCCUGUUCUAGAACCGAUAACCCCCGUUCAACCUCACCUUUCCUUGUUUUUUCCGCCUAUAUACCGCCGCCGUCAGCCUACCCUGUGAAGGCCCAGCAGUGAGCAAAAUCAGUACAACUCAAAACGUCAGGUCGAGGUGUAGCGCAUGGAAAGGGAAGAAAUGGGCUACAUUCCCUCAGCAUCAGGGAACACGAAAAAUGUGCUGAAACGUACAUUCAAAGGAGGAUUUAGCAGUAAGAAGAAAAUAGAGUGUUCUCCUGAAACAGGCUCUGAAGCGCGCACACACCGCCCGUCA